rnacentral:rRNA from 1 species
GACGAACCUUGCUAACGUUAUUCGGAAUUACUGGGCUUAAAGGGUGCGUAGGCGGUGCAGAAAGUCGGGUGUGAAAUCCUCCAGCUCAACUGGAGAAUUGCGCCCGAAACUGCUGUGCUUGAGAAAGAUAGAGGUACGCGGAACUUAGGGGUGGAGCGGUGAAAAUGCGUUGAUAUCCUAAGGAACACCGGGUGGCGAAAGCGGCGUACUGGGUCUUUUCUGACGCUGAGGCACGAAAGCCAGGGUAGCCGAACGGGG